rnacentral:rRNA from 1 species
GACAGAGGGUGCAAACGUUGUUCGGAUUUACUGGGCGUAAAGAGCGCGUAGGCGGCCCGAUAAGUCCGCUGUGAAAGUCAAAGGCUCAACCUUUGAAAGCCGGUGGAUACUGCAGGACUAGAGUACGGAAGAGGCGAGUGGAAUUCCUGGUGUAGCGGUGGAAUGCGCAGAUAUCAGGAGGAACACCAAUAGCGAAGGCAGCUCGCUGGGACGUUACUGACACUGAGGCGCGAAAGCGUGGGGAGCGAACAGG